AUUGAACGCUGGCGGCAUGCUUUACACAUGCAAGUCGAACGGUAACAGGCCUUCGGGCGCUGACGAGUGGCGAACGGGUGAGUAAUGCAUCGGAACGUGUCCAGUCGUGGGGGAUAACGCAGCGAAAGCUGUGCUAAUACCGCAUACGAUCUAUGGAUGAAAGCGGGGGACCGUAAGGCCUCGCGCGAUUGGCGCGGCCGAUGUCAGAUUAGGUAGUUGGUGGGGUAAAGGAUCACGAAGCCAACGAACUGUAGCUGGUCUGAGACGACGACCAGCCAUACUGGAACUGAGACACGGUCCAGACUCCUGCGGGAGGCAGCAGUGGGGAAUUUUGGACAAUGGGCGCAGGCCUGAUCCAGCAAUGCCGAGUGCAGGAAGCAGGCCUUCGGGUUGUAAACUGCUUUUGUACGAAACGAAACGGCGAGCUCUAAUACAGUUUGCUAAUGACGGUACCGUAAGAAUAAGCACCGGCUAACUACGUGCCAGCCGCCGCAGUAACAC
rnacentral:rRNA from 1 species